UUGCAAAAGGGAUAAGAAGAAUUGUUGAGACAAGCUAUGAAGAUGAGCUAAGAAGAAUGAAAGGGCAAGGGAGGGAGAGAAGAAAGAGGCUGAAAUUUAGGACUAAAAAAGGUUUGACUAAGAGGAGGACUAGUGUUGUCAAUCUCCUUCUGCUGCUUCUGAUGAUCCUGCAUGGGUUCCAUGAGUUUUUGCUGUUUGGUUGUAGGCAUUGAAGGACAACUGUAAAUCUUGGUCUGGGAUGGUGAGAACUGAGAAGACGCGUGGGAUUCUUAAGGCAGUGCAUGCAGUUUUUGGCUAUAUAUUUCUCGAAAAAUGUAAGGCUAAUUGACUGAUGUGGAGUUGGGGGUUUGGUAUUUGUAGAGCUUUAUUGUUGAAGCCUUAAAAUUGAUGCCAAAUAAAAGAUAAGCAACAAAAGAUAGAGCUACCACAGCCACCCUGCCAUAACCAUUAAUGGCCACCGCUCUCCUAUUCCAUUCAGAUGGAGAGAGAGAGAGAGAGAGAGAGACAAAGAUAACAAGGAAAGGAAAUUAAUUGAAUGGAAUUGUGAUUGGUAAGACAAUGGUCAAUGAAAAGAAGCCCCAGAAGGGACCAAAAAACCAAUUUAAAAGUAUAGAAAGUUCUUAAUGGAACAAAGAAAUAAAAGGUUUGUUCGACUAAAUGCACAGAGAGUGUGUGUGAAUGUGCGUGAAAAUGUGGAGCAUAAAAGCUUGCAUGAGUGGAAGAUACAGUGGUUGAAGUGAAGACUGAAAGUUGGUGGAUUUGCCAGUUUUGGUGUGUUAGCUCAAAACAACUAUGAACAUACAUGAAAGUGAUCCGUUCGAUUUCCAAUUUAUCUGUUAGUUUGUGGUAGUUUUUUUCUUUCUUUCUUUCUUUUUAAAAAAAAAAAAAAUAUGUACGAAGGAGGGAGGGGCUGAGGGAACGUAAGAUUAUUGAGUCAACCACUUCAGGUCCCCACGUCAUAGCUAUAAAACAAACUUCCUGCUCUCAUUCUCUUUUCUGUGAUUUUACGUUUGCAGAUUUUCUGUUUCUUAGACAAAGAGGAAACUUAUUCUUUAACCUUGUGAUUGGAUUGAGUUAACCAAAUCUUUGUGUCCUUUUGCAGCCUCUUUCUGAUUGAAUGGUUGCAUUGAGGCUCAGACUUUUGCUUCCUAAUCCAAAAUCCAAGCCUUUCAUCUCCAGCGCUCCAAACAUUUUUUUGAGCUCGAUCGCAUUACACUUUUACUAGAACAAGAAAUCCAACCACUUCAAGAUUUCUGUUUAGCAUCUGAUAGACAAUUUACAUUUUACUUACGUUUCAAGUUACUGACUUUCUAGGUUGCCCUUUUGGUGGAUUCAACUUGGUAGAUUCUUGAACUUUAAGCUGCCCAAUUGAUUUUGCAUUUUGCCUUCACACAUCAAGAAUAGAAAUCAAAAGGGAAAAGAUUUUAUUAGUAAUAAAUAGUCUUUACAAAAUUUUUCUUGGGGGAAAGUAUAGCAUACAUUUUACCAGAGACCUAUAAAAAUAAAUGAAGAACCUACAAAACCAACACCAUCCUCUCUGCAGCUCUGUGAAGCUAUACACAGAACUUUGCCUUGGUUGAUAGUAUUUCCUACUUAAUGCAACUCCUGAUUAGCACACAUGGGCCUAAACUGCCUUCUGUUAUUUUGGAAUUUACAUCAUUUCUCAGUUUUUAAGUGCAAGUUCCUACUUUGAAAAUUUGUGAUGUUUGAGGAGAUGUGGCCACAGUCAUAUAUAAAUAUAUAUAUAUAUAUAUAUAUAUAUAUAUAUAUAUAUAUCAGGGAUAAUAAAACUAUAGAUCCACCAUUGAGGCCCCUAUGUAUUGUAUUUGCCAAAAAGUCAAUCUAAAAUGUCCAAUGGAAAAUUAAAAUUUUUUAACGAACUUAAUCAUGUGCACCUUUACAAAUUGAUUGUCUUGGUCCAUUAUUUUCAAAGUUGUGUCCAAUUUUGUCAUUUCAUCAAUACAAACCCAAAAGUCCAUUAUUUCACAAAACAAAAAAAAUUAGUAUGGGAGUUUUGAUGGGAUAUUUUAAAAAAUGCUAAUGGAGCCAGUUUUGUACACUAUAAGUCUACAUUUGAAAUUAAAAAAAAAAAAAACACACACACACACACACACUAAUGGGUAUGUGGUGAUAUGUAAGGGGUACAAUUGGAUACGAUCUAAUGAUAAUGUAGCAAAAUGGUCAUUUUUAAUUGUGCACCAGAGUGACACUGCUAAAAAUUUUUUUUUUUAAUUUUUCAUUAGAGGGUCUUGAUUGGCUUUUUAUAGGAUAGAUGAAGGAGUUAAAAUAGCCGCGCGCGGUGAUAAAUUAGGACUAAAUUGACUAAAACUCCAAACAUAAGGGACCAAAAUGGCUAUUUUUCCUCCUGGACUCCUACUAGUUUUAAGAUAUUGGACUAAUAUAUAGUGUGCCAGAAUGGUGGUACAUUUAGAACUUUAGGGUCAUUUCACUGGAUUGAAACUACAAAGCCAUUUUGAAAAACUCUCAACUCUUCGAAAAACUCUUAAAAGUGGAAAGCUCAUUUUGACAGGAUUAGAGUACUGCCUGCACAAUGCCAAUGGCUAUUUCCUACUUAUACCUGUUUAACAUCCCAAGUUGAAACCCUAAACCAUACAACAGAAUUUAUUUGCGAAAUGCAUCAUACCAGCUUCAAUCUUCAGUGCCUAAAUCAUUAGGUAAGAUUAAUCUUGCAAAUAUAAAUCAUUAGGUAAGGUUAAUCUUGCAAAUAUUCUGUGAGAUAGUACAUAAAUUUAAAUUUAUUUGUAUUCAUGGCCAAAAAAAAAAAAAAGAAGAAAGAUUAGCAAAUGUAUUUGCACUAGAAGACCUUGAAAGAGAAAUUAUGUGGUAUUCUUUUUUUUUUUUCACCUGAAAGAGUAUUAUUGGCAAGGUUUAGUGUCUGGAGAUUCUGAAGGCUACCCAAUUCUGCUGGAAUUGAUCCAUUCAAGUUAUUAAGGGCGGCAGUGAAUACAGCAAGGCUAGAACAAUUCCCAAGCUCAGCUGGAAUAGGGCCAUCCAGCUGAUUGUCCUGCAAAAUCAAGUACUGAAGCUGCCCAAGUUUACCUAGCUCUGGAGGUAUAUGACCACUAAGACUGCAUGAGGCCAGGCCAAGAAUGAUCAAAUUAUCAAGAUUACCAAAAGAAGCAGGAAUAGGCCCUGUGAGGCCAUUGUCACCAAUUUUGAGAAUUUGGAGGUUGAUGAGAAUGCCAAGUUGAGAAGGAAUGGGACCAGAAAGCUGGUUAGAGUAAAGAAGCAAAGAUUCCAAAGAAGAAAGGUUUGAAAGAGUAGUUGGAAUGGGGCCUGAGAGCUGAUUAGAAGAAAGAUCAAGUUGGAGCAGGUCAUGCAAAAGGCCUAGGGAAGGUGAUAUUGUCCCACCAAGUGAAGAAUCAGAAAGAUUGAGACUCACCAGUUCAGUGAGCCAUCAGCUGGAUUUCUUGCGCAUGAGACACCUCUCCAUGUACAGAAAUUUGGGUUGUUUAUGGACCAAUCUUGCAGCACAUUCUGGGGUCUUGAAACGACUGUUUCACCUCCAAAAGAACUUGAAGAGUUGAUGAAGAAUUUGCACCCUGGCAUGACACUGAUCCACUUGAAAGAACGAUGACUAGAACUACGACAAGAACUGAUAAAACUUGUCUCAGAAAUGCCAUCUUUUUUUUUGUUGUUGCAAAAGGGAUAAGAAGAAUUGUUGAGACAAGCUAUGAAGAUGAGCUAAGAAGAAUGAAAGGGCAAGGGAGGAGAGAAGAAAGAGGCUGAAAUUUAGGACUAAAAAAGGUUUGACUAAGAGGAGGACUAGUGUUGUCAAUCUCCUUCUGCUGCUUCUGAUGAUCCUGCAUGGGUUCCAUGAGUUUUUGCUGUUUGGUUGUAGGCAUUGAAGGACAACUGUAAAUCUUGGUCUGGGAUGGUGAGAACUGAGAAGACGCGUGGGAUUCUUAAGGCAGUGCAUGCAGUUUUUGGCUAUAUAUUUCUCGAAAAAUGUAAGGCUAAUUGACUGAUGUGGAGUUGGGGGUUUGGUAUUUGUAGAGCUUUAUUGUUGAAGCCUUAAAAUUGAUGCCAAAUAAAAGAUAAGCAAAAAAGAUAGAGCUACCACAGCCACCCUGCCAUAACCAUUAAUGGCCACCGCUCUCCUAUUCCAUUCAGAUGGAGAGAGAGAGAGAGAGAGAGAGACAAAGAUAACAAGGAAAGGAAAUUAAUUGAAUGGAAUUGUGAUUG
rnacentral:lncRNA from 1 species